GAUGAACGCUGGCGGCGUGCCUAAUACAUGCAAGUCGAGCGAACGGACGAGAAGCUUGCUUCUCUGAUGUUAGCGGCGGACGGGUGAGUAAUACGUGGAUAACCUACCUAUAAGACUGGGAUAACUUCGGGAAACCGGUGCUAAUACCGGAUAUACUUUUCACCGGCAGGUUCAAAAGAUGAAGGCGGCCUUGCCGUUUCCUUUAGACGGAUCCGCCCUGCCUUAGCUACGUGGGUAAGUAACGGCCUUCCAAGGCAACGUAGCAUUGCCGACCUGGGGGGGGGAUCGGCCACACAGAACCUGAGACACGUUCCAGACUCCUACGGGGGGCAGCAGUGGGAAAUUUUCCGCAAUGGGCGAAAGCCUGACGGAGCAACGCCGCGUGAGUGAUGAAGGUCUUCGGUUCGUAAAACUCUGUUAUGAGGGAAAAACAUAUGUGUAAGUAACUGUGCACAUCUUAACGGUACCUAAUCAGAAAGCCACGGCGAACUACGU
rnacentral:rRNA from 1 species